GACGAACGCUGGCGGCGUGCUUAACACAUGCAAGUCGAACGGUGAAGCCCUUCGGGGUGUCUCAGUGGCGAACGGGUGAGUAACACGUGAGCAACCUGCCCCUGUCCCUGGGACACCCACUGGAAACGGUGGCUAAUACCGGAUACGACCCGCCUCGGCUUCGCCUGUGGGUGGAAUGGUGUUCGGCUGGGGAUGGGCUCGCGGCCUAUCAACCUGUUGGUGAGUUGAGGGCUCACCAAGGAGACGACGGGCAGCCGGCCUGAGGGGGACCGGCCACACUGGGACUGAGACACGGCCCAGACUCCAACGGGAGGCAGCAGUGGGGAAUAUUGCACAAUGGGCGAAAGCCUGAUGCAGCGACGCCGCGUGAGGGAUGACGGCCUUCGGGUUGUAAACCUCUGUCAGCGCCGAAGAAGCGAAAGUGACGGUAGGAGCAGAAGAAGCACCGGCUAACUACGUG
rnacentral:rRNA from 1 species